rnacentral:rRNA from 1 species
GACGAACCGUGCGAACGUUGUUCGGAAUCACUGGGCUUAAAGGGCGCGUAGGCGGGUGUGCAAGUCUGCGGUGAAAGCCUCCAGCUUAACUGGAGAAGUGCCGUGGAUACUGCAUAUCUUGAGGAGGGUAGGGGCAUGCGGAACUGUAGGUGGAGCGGUGAAAUGCGUUGAUAUCUACAGGAACUCCGGUGGCGAAAGCGGCGUGCUGGACCUUUUCUGACGCUGAGGCGCGAAAGCUAGGGGAGCAAACGGG